rnacentral:rRNA from 1 species
AAUGUACGCUGGCGGCACGCCUAACACAUGCAAGUCGAGCGAGGUACUUGUACCUAGCGGCAGACGGGUGCGUAACAUGUGGGAAUCUGCCUUUUGGUUCGGAACAACACGGGGAAACUUGUGCUAAUACCGGAUAAGUCCUAACGGAGAAAGAUUUAUCGCCGAAAGAUGAGCCCGCAUUAGAUUAGCUUGUUGGUAAGGUAAAAGCUUACCAAGGCUACGAUCUAUAGCUGAUUUGAGAGGAUGAUCAGCCACACUGGGACUGAGACACGGCCCAAACUCCUACGGGAGGCAGCAGUGGGGAAUCUUAGACAAUGGGCGCAAGCCUGAUCUAGCCAUGCCGCGUGAGUGAUGAAGGCCUUAGGGUCGUAAAGCUCUUUUCUCAAGGAAGAAGAUCUGACGGUACUUGAGGAAUAAGCCACGGCUAAUUCCG